rnacentral:antisense_RNA from 2 species
UGGCAAACGACAUUGCUCACAUUGCUUCCAGUAUUUCGAAGUUUCUCAGCCAGCCAUCGCGCUGGCUUUUUUUU